CCUACGGGUGGCAGCAGUAGGGAAUAUUGCUCAAUGGGGGAAACCCUGAAGCAGCAACGCCGCGUGGAGGAUGAAGGUUUUCGGAUUGUAAACUCCUGUUGUUAGAGAAGAUAAUGACGGUAUCUAACGAAUAAGCACCGGCCAACUCCGUGCCAGCAGCCGCGGUAAUACGGCGUGCGCAAGCGUUACUCGGAAUCACUGGGCGUAAAGAGGGCGUAGGCGGGUUGGCAAGUCGGAGGUGAAAUCCUAUGGCUGAACCAUAUAAGGGAAGUUGAAACUGGUAGGCUAGAGUUUGGUAGAGGUAAGUGGAAUUCUUGGUGUAGGGGUGAAAUCCGUAGAGAUCAAGAGGAACACUCGUGGCGAAGGCGACCUGCUGGAACGUAACUGACGCUGAGGCGCGAAAGCGUGGGGAGCAAACAGGAUUAGAUACCCGAGUAGUC
rnacentral:rRNA from 1 species